rnacentral:rRNA from 1 species
AGUGAACGCUGGCGGUAGGCCUAACACAUGCAAGUCGAACGGCAGCACAGUAAGAGCUUGCUCUUACGGGUGGCGAGUGGCGGACGGGUGAGGAAUACAUCGGAAUCUACUUUUUCGUGGGGGAUAACGUAGGCAAACUUACGCUAAUACCGCAUACGACCUACGGGUGAAAGCAGGGGAUCUUCGGACCUUGCGCGAUUGAAUGAGCCGAUGUCGGAUUAGCUAGUUGGCGGGGUAAAGGCCCACCAAGGCGACGAUCCGUAGCUGGUCUGAGAGGGUGAUCAGCCACACUGGAACUGAGACACGGUCCAGACUCCUACGGGAGGCAGCAGUGGGGAAUAUUGGACAAUGGGCGCAAGCCUGAUCCAGCCAUACUGCGUGGGUGAAGAAGGCCUUCGGGUUGUAAAGCCCUUUUGUUGGGAAAGAAAAGCAGCAGGUUAAUACCCCGCUGUUCUGACGGUACCCAAAGAAUAAGCACCGGCUAACUUCGUG